GAUGAACGCUGGCGGCGUGCCUAAUACAUGCAAGUCGAGCGAACGGACGAGAAGCUUGCUUCUCUGAUGUUAGCGGCGGACGGGUGAGUAACACGUGGAUAACCUACCUAUAAGACUGGGAUAACUUCGGGAAACCGGAGCUAAUACCGGAUAAUAUUUUGAACCGCAGGGUUCAAAAGUGAAAGACGGUCUUGCUGUCACUUAUAGAUGAAUCCGCGCUGCAUUAGCUAGUUGGUAAGGUAACGGCUUACCAAGGCAACGAUGCAUAGCCGACCUGAGAGGGUGAUCGGCCACACUGGAACUGAGACACGGUCCAGACUCCUACGGGAGGCAGCAGUAGGGAAUCUUCCGCAAUGGGCGAAAGCCUGACGGAGCAACGCCGCGUGAGUGAUGAAGGUCUUCGGAUCGUAAAACUCUGUUAUUAGGGAAGAACAUAUGUGUAAGUAACUGUGCACAUCUUGACGGUACCUAAUCAGAAAGCCACGGCUAACUACGUG
rnacentral:rRNA from 1 species